ACGAACGCUGGCGGCGUGCUUAACACAUGCAAGUCGAACGCUGAAGCUCAGCUUUUGUUGGGUGGAUGAGUGGCGAACGGGUGAGUAACACGUGAGUAACCUGCCUCCUUCUUUGGGAUAACGCCCGGAAACGGGUGCUAAUACUGGAUAUUCACUGGUCUUCGCAUGGGGGUUGGUGGAAAGGGCUUUUCUGGUGGGGGAUGGGCUCGCAGCCUAUCAGCUUGUUGGUGGGGUGAUGGCCUACCAAGGCUUUGACGGGUAGCCGGCCUGAGAGGGUGACCGGUCACAUUGGGACUGAGAUACGGCCCAGACUCCUACGGGAGGCAGCAGUGGGGAAUAUUGCACAAUGGGCGCAAGCCUGAUGCAGCGACGCCGCGUGAGGGAUGGAGGCCUUCGGGUUGUGAACCUCUUUCGCUCAUGGUCAAGCCGCAACAAUGGUUGUGGUGAGGGUAGUGGGUAAAGAAGCGCCGGCUAACUACGUG
rnacentral:rRNA from 1 species